rnacentral:lncRNA from 1 species
ACGACCUGCAGAUCCCAACACUCCAGGAUGGUGCAGGACAUCAGUCUCAAGGCAUCUUCCUUCAUGUUCUCUGGGGGAGAGACUGACUGUGGGAAUCAGCCUUGGUUGCAAAGGGAAGCUGAGAGAAGAGAGCAGCGCAGGGCACGGACAUGCCAGCCCAGUUACUGGAGAUAUCUGCCGCUGGAGACGGGUUCAGAGCCUAGUUUAAUAUCCCGAAUUUCUGAUGCCAAGCUGAUCAUCGUCUCAGCACCAGCAAAGACAUGCUAUUCCCGUCCCUGACGAGCAUUUCCUUCUUGAGAAAGUGAUUUUGAGGGGCUGCAGAUGUACUUGGAGGAAGGUUUGGGCCGGGACAGAUGACGUGCCCAUGUGGGAGCUGGACGGCCCCUCUCUGGGUAGCUCCCUGGGAACUCCCAUGUCCGCCUCCCGCUGCCUCCUGAUCCAAGGUGGAUGCACUUCAUUUGAGGCCUGGUCUUUCGUCCUUCCCUCUCCUCUUCGGGGACCACUUUGUCUAGUGCUAGACUCAUUGUGCUUCCCCCUUGGGGCUUCCUUCAGCCCUCAGCCGAUUCAAGACUUCAAAAGGAAGUUGGACAUGGAGAGGAAAAAAGAAAUGAAACCAGGAAGGAACCGCCAAGAAGCACACAACGCGUUUAUGCUGCCUUAACCACACGCUUGACUCUAAAUGGGUUUAAAAAUUCUUACUUGUGUUAGCCCAAGAAAGUUUCUGCAGCCGUCUUUUUGGUUUAAACAAUCAAAUACUCAAUAAUUCUGGGGCUGGUGGGCCAGGAUAUGGGUUACUCAGAUCUUCUGCUUCACCCCAUGCUCGGUCCCUGAGCCAGUUCUGUCAUUGGUUCUUUCAGACCAGGGCAGGAAAAGUCAAGAAAGCAAAAGCGGAUUCUAGGCUGUGGGGUUUGCUGUUUGCUAGCCCCCUGGCAGAGAUGCCUGUCCUUGCAGUCCUGAACUGGUGGCCAAGUGUGCAUGCAUGCACGUGCAGGUGUGUGCAUGUGCAGGUGUGCAUGCGUGUAUGUGCGCACACACAUUCAUGCUUGUACAUGUUUGUGUACACGCACACUUUUUUCUGCUUUCAAUUUCAAGCUGUUGCCUCCCUGAUGUGUCUGUUUAGUGACUUGAGCCAGAAAGAUUCCCGGUUCUAUGUGGGAUGAGAAUGAACGCAGGCAGGUCUCCACAGAAGUGAGUAAAGUAGAGCUGAGAAGAAGGACAUUGUCUCAUGCCAGCCUGUCCAAUAGCCACUUUGCCCCAGCCCUGCCUCAAGCCCCAGAGAGAUGACAAGGCUCUCUCUGUUUGUCGACUCCUUGAAGCUCAGAAAGGUGGGUCAAGAGGUGCCCGUCAAGCGUUUAGGCAAGCACAGGACCCUGAUCUUUACUAAGUCUCCACAUCUCUCUUGCACAGCCCUGGGCUCAGGGCUUGGUCCCCUCUGGGCAGGCCAUCCAGACUAAGUGACAGUCAGAUUGUGUGUGGGGAGGCUAGAGACAUCCAUUCUUCAUGGAUCAGCCUGAAUGGCUGGACAGAUCUUGCAAAUGGAUUGUGUAAGACAGAGUGUGGAAGAGGAGGCUGUGAUCAGUGGCUUGGAGAGCAGAGUGUGGUCAGGCGCUAAACCUAAGGCUUUUCUGGGAAGAGCUGUUAAGAUUAGACUGUUCUCCCAAAAAGCCAAUAAUUCUGAGUGUCUCCAUUAAUGCCUAGGUAGCCCAUACUCUCACCCAGCCGGUGCCCUUCAGCCUGGAACCUUUGGAUGGAGGAUUGGACCUUGUGACCUUCAAGUUCCCUUCCGAACCAAAUAUGCUCUAACCCAGGUAUGCUGUUAUUUUCUUAUAUAAUGGGAGCAAGGAGGCACUGGGAUGCCCAAGGCGUCUAGGGUCUCACCAUGACACCCCUGGUCUCCUGCCCUAGUGGUCUGGCUGGGUCCUGCACAGAGCCCUCUCUUGUAAUCAGCCAGAUCUCCAAGAGCCACGGCUCCACACAGACCUACCCAUAGAUGGACGGCAGGGUGUGCCCUGCACACAUUCAUCCCUGCCCCGCUCAGCUUCCUGCCCCUCUGCCUUCGUUCAGCCUUGGUCCCCAGGAGAAGCAGACUCUUGGAGGCAAUUCCAACAGGCUGCAAUUCCCAGUCCAGCUCCGGCCCUUACUUCCUGCACGUCUCAGCCUGGCCUCCUCAUCUGUAAAGCAGGGGUGAAUACUACCUCUUUGGAUGCAGUGGAGUGUGGUGGGUCAUGGUGGAUCAGAGCAUGGGCUUGGAGCUAGACCACAUGCCACUCGCCAGCAAUGUGUGUCGCACAUUUGAAAACUUCACAUUUUCCUGCUGCCUCCACAUCCCCAGACACAGGUGGUGUGCACCUGCCUGGGUGACCCAGUGCACUAUUGUCACGGGGCCGGCCGUGCCACAAGUUCCCCUGACUGUGACCUAGUAACGUUCAAAUGCACUGGUGGAAUUCCCUCGUGUCUGUUUUUGGUGUGCUUCACUCUGAUCCCCAAUAAAAAAGCCUCACCCGCUCUCUGCCCCCCACCUGCUUGGUGGAGCCUGGGCCCUGGGUGCUCCUCCCAUGCGACCCCUCCCAGCGGAGUGUGCAGUGACUCUGUGGGGCCUGUGAGUCUGGGAACACCUGUUGCCCUGCGCCUCUCCUGUGCCUCCUCUUGCGGCUGCCCCCGAUUGACCAUUACCUAAAAUAAUCACACACACAGUGUGGUUCUGGACAAAUCACUUCCCUGCCCCUGCCCUCUGUUUCCUCCCCUGUCAAUGCACAUAGUAAGAAUAAGCUGCUCUUUGGGGCACAGAGAGGACAGAGUUGAUGUGUGAGUGUUGAGAAUGGUGCUUGGCAGAGAGUUCAGAUUAUUGGGACUUUGCAGGUUGCUAUAGUAAGGACAGAGGUAGGUGGCUCUCGGUGAACAGUGGCCAUUUGUGUUCUAAUCAGGCCCCAGGAGGAAUGCAGGGGGCUGUUUCCCUGUGCUGCAGGGACUACUGGCCUUUAAGGGCUCCUCAGAACCAAGGGUCUGGGUCAGAAGAAAGGUUCCAGGUGAGGGCUUCUGCCUUCCCUCUUGUGCUGUCCAGAGGUGAGUCCUGUCCUCCCUCAACAAGAUGACCUGGUGGAAGGAAGGAGGCAGCGGAGACCACGCGGCUUGGCUGCCUGCCUGUGGGCAGACCUGCAGGUGUGAGGGGCGGAAGCUUGGCCUGAAGCCUGAGGCCAAGCUGAAGGCCAAGCCUGCUGGGGGGCACAGAGCCAGACAGGACACAGUGGGCUCGCCAACACUGCAGAGGAAAGGGGUUCUCUCUCUGGGCCCAACAGCACUGGUCCCGCAAGCCUCAGGCCCCCUAAGGGCUGGUCGGUGCUGCACAGAGAGAGUGUCUCCACCCCAGGCCAUGGUACGUGCCCGGUUCACUGUCCCACCACGUGCCUCCAUCCAGCUACGUUGGUCAGGUCUAGGAUGUGCCACUCGGCUCUCGGGGACCUCAGCUGAGCGACCGCAUUGCCCAGGAUGCUGGAAAUCCUCACGAUAGGCCCCAGGCCGGAGGGCUGGGUGGGGGUAUGGCUGGCCCCCUGGCACACCAGUCCCCAGUGCUGGAAAAGAGCUCAAAGCCCAUGCCCUGGGGCCUUCACCCUGCAGGCCUAUCACAUCCACUCUCCCAGCGCCCUGGCUGUAGGCUCUCCCUCUCUUCCAAACGGGAGGGCCGUCCUGCAGGCCCGUACACAGGCGCUUCAUAUCCACAGCUGGAAACUAGGUCGCUGCUGGUGAGAGGCAGCAGGGGACGGUCCACAGGCUUUCGCAGCACCCUUCCUCUGCCACUGGUUCCCUGGGUCACUGUGCAAAAGCAGAGGCUGCAAAGUCUGUGGUGGAACCCGGGAAGCCGGAGAAGGAACACGGGGGCCUUUGAGGCUUCUUCCCGCUGCCCGAUUCCUUUCAGGCUCGGCCUGAUUUCUCUUUGAGACUUGGGCUGGUUCUGCCCCUCACACUUCCUUGCUGGUCUGGACAUUUUUCAGCCUCAUCUGUCCUCUUCUUCUCUUCCCACACACUAGGCUUUGACCCUUGGGAGGGGCUGUGGGGUGAAGAGAGGCCCCAGGCAGCAGGGAGCUUGCCUCUGCCAAGAGGGCAUGGAAGUUAGGGAGUUGGGGUCUGCCUGAGUCCUGAGCUGGGCUCCAGGCCUCUGGUCCUGCACAUUCCACCCCAGCCUCCCCUCCUGACACUCUGGGCAGCUGCGGAUCUUCCCAGCUUCCCAGGAAGAAGGCUGUCAAGGAGGCUCUGGUGCCUGUAACACCAGCCAUGCACCAGGCGAUCUCCAAACAUUCAGAUCAGUGGGAUCUGAUCAGGCCUCUAGAUCUAACCACCAGGUGGGCAUGUUAGACAACAUCAUGGGGGUGUCAUCAGAAAAUCCAGACUGGGAGAAACGUGACAGGACAAAUGACGUGGUUCUUCAGCACAUACAUUGCAAGAGGAGAAAAAAGGAGAGAGAGAGAUUGAUGGUGGAACUUAGAGGCUACAGGAGACUUAGGAGACCAAUUAACUGAUUUUAACACAUGGAUGUAAUUUAGAUUCCGACCCCAAAAACUUUUUUAAAAAGAACAGUUUAUGGGUCAGUUGGGGAGAGCUGAAACUGCCUGGUUAUUUCGUGAUAUUAAGGAAUCAACUGUUAAUAGUUUUUAGGUAUGAUAAUGGUAAUGUUACUAUGUUUUCUAAAAGAGGAUCCUUAAGUUUUAGAGGUACAUACUGAAAUAUUUGUUUUUUAAAUGUUUUAAAAAGUUUAUUGCUCUUUCAGAAAUAUGCUGACAUAUUGACAGAUGAUUUGAUAUCUGGGAUUGCUUCAAAACCAUCCUGGGGUGGGGAGAGGGAGGGAUGGAGGGGAGGGUGCAGGCCAGCGAAUGGAGAUGGACUAUGAAGUGGUAACUGUUGAGCCCUGGGUGAUGGGAAGAUGGAGGUUCAUUAAAGCACUUUUUAAAAUUUUUGCA